GCAGGGCCUGAACACAGCUGCUUUCCACGGUUCCCCAGGCCUCUCUAGGAGUUGGCCUCAAGUGAGACCUUCAGUGAGGAUGAGCCCCCCAUGGGAUGGUUUGGUGGCAGAAUAUUCCAGGAGGAGGCCCUGGCCAGUGCAAAGGCCCUGAGCACAGACCUUGGCAGUGUGGAGGGAGAGAGCCUGGUUUUUCCGCCCAGCCCUGGGCAACCUUCUGGUGUCCCAGGAUAGAAAAAAGACUCACAUUUCUUUGCACCACUGAGCCCAUCACUGCAGCACCAGAGCAUUUGACAUCUGCAAAACAACAUCAUUAGAGCCAGCUUCUGCAGAGCCAAGAGCCGUGAGCCGAUCCUCCAAAAACCAGACCCACAGGACAAGAGGCCAGGAGGGAGCAGCCAGCUCUCGGUGAACACAGGCACAGGGCCUUGGCAGGCUCAGCGGCCAGGACGUCCAGGUCUCAUCUCCAGUCUGCCUCUUGCUAGUCACCUGACCUCCCGCAGCCUCAGUUUCCCCAUCUGUAAGGUGAUGACGACACCCUCUAGCUCCUUAGUAAAGGAAUGAUAAAAUGACA